CAUUAAAGUAUUGAAACCUCGUGGCGCACGUAAUAAAUAUAAAUUCAACUUAUUUUCAAUACAUUUUCCUAAUUCGGGUAUUUAUUCUUGACUGUAAAAUGAAUGAAGAUAGUUGUUCACUUGAAUUAGAACUUUCACAAGAAACAAUGAUGGCAGUUGACUCUACUCUUUCUGUUGAAAAGCAUUUUUUUGCCACAUAUGCCGAUGUUUAUGCAAAAAUUAAAGAGCAUGAAAUGUUGCACACAUUGCAUUAUGUUGUAACUUGCUCAGGAACCAUGGAAAAUAACUUUGAAGAAUUAUUAAAAAAAAACACAUAAAGUGUUUUACGAGGACAAGGAAUUUCCAUACACUGGAGUACCAUUUAUUGUAUCAGCUCUAACAAAACUUGACUGUCAACAUGGAAAAGACAGAAAUAUUAAAGCAAAAGCUCAAUACAGACAAAUGAGAAAUAAAAAAGCUAGUACCGAUCAUUACUGUCAAAAAAGUAGAGUUAUUCUUUAGGAUACUAAAAAGUUUGAUUGACCUGCCAUUGUGUAUAUAAAAGAAAUUGUAGAGUUUCCAGAGUUUAAGCUUUUAAGAAAUUCUUUACGGUUAAGAAAUGAAACAUCUAAAAAACUCCGUGUAUCCUUAGCUAAGUCAGAAAAUGUACAUAAGUCCAGAGAGUAUAUUUUAUUAUUG